ACACACACACACACACACAAAAACAAAAAAAAAAUCCCAAAAGAAGACCCGAAAACUCCCAAAAGCACAAAACAUGCAUGCACAGCUAAAUCAAAGCAAACAUUUUCAACAAUCAGCAAAAAUAGCCAACAAUCCCCAAAACCAAUCCAUCAAAAAGACAAACUCCAAUCCAGCAAAACACGUUAAAAAAAAAUCACACAUGCCAAACAAGUUAACGAAGUCCCACACCAUCAAACAACAACCGAUCAGACAAACACUUUUCCAAUCUAAUCACCAAAAAAUAAUGCUUAAAACCAACAAAAAAAGGAACAACUUUGCAUCCAGAUCGAGAUAGGAGAUUAAAAUCUAGAGAGAGAACUCACAGGCUCGGACUCCAAUUUUAGGGCGGGGGAGACCUGCCUGCCACCCGACAAGAUCUGCUGGAGCCGCAGGGGAAAGCUCGCCCUGUGGCUCGCCAUCGCGAAUCCCUCUCUCCAAGUCCUCCUAUAUCAACAACCUAACAUAUAGCAAAGAAAAGCCACCAAAAUAUCAGCAAAAAAACCCAAAAAACAGCAGAAAAAAACGACAAAAGAGAUCGCAAGCACCAUCCAUCAUCCGAGUAAAGGAGGGAUCGAAUAAAUAAAAAGAAAAAUAAAAGAAAACAGAAGACGAACCUGGGAUUGGAGAGGG
rnacentral:lncRNA from 1 species